rnacentral:lncRNA from 1 species
AUGGAAAUAAUUAACUCCUCUCUCUCUCUCUCUCUCUCUCCCCCUCUCUCUCACGUUUUCCAAACUUUCAGCCCAGUUGCCACCUACGCUUACGAGCCUCCGUGGUCUCAUCCUCCUGCUUUCUCUCUUUGCCCCAUUUCCUCAGCUCUGUGCCAGGAUGUCGCAGGACCAGGGGGGCUUCAGUGUUACCAGUGCAACUUCGGCCAGUCCUGCGCAGAAUCCUCCUCCCUGGUGACCUGUAAGGAAGGAGAGAGAUGCACCAGCGUAAAAGCGCUCUCAGAUUAUAAAGUGCAUGACUCCAUCUUGGCCAAGGGCUGCCUCUUAGCUGCAAAAUGCAACCAUCAAGACAGCCUCAAUCACUUUAGCAACCCAUUCCGGGUCAUUUACUCCUGCUGCAACAGCAACUACUGCAACAACAGGAUCUCUGGGGCAGCCCCUGUGCUUUCCACGCACCGCUUCUUGUUCUUUGGGGCCACCUUCUUAGCCAUCCUAUCAGCUACCCUUUCCUGAAGCUACCACCACCACCACCUCCUCCUUCUGCUUGCUUCCUGGGAAAUGUUCUACUCCCAUCGCUACCAGCAAUGACUGAAGGCUAAGGCUCAGCUACCUCACCUCCACAGGUAUGGACACACCUUGGGGCUAAAAAUCCGCAGAAAUGAACACUCCGGUGGCCGUUCUUUAAGAGUGUAGGAAGGUGGUCUUGGAGCUGAUUUCUCUUGGCAGGCUGGCUGCAGAUGUCUCGUUGGCCACUGGGUGAUCAGAAUUGCUAUACAAAAGCAGUCUUUCAGUCUGAUCUACAAAGACACUCAUGCGUUUCAGCUGUUCUCCGACUCCUCCCCAGCACAGCUUGUCUCAACUUCAGGUUUCCAGAUGUCCUUGGACUACAAAGAUGCACGGGCAUCCAAAGUUGGCCAAGCUGCUGGAUUUCUGUCUCCAACAUGGAGAUGGUACUAAUACGGAUCUACCUCACAGGGCUGUUGUGCAGAUCAAUGCAAUAAGACAAGUUGGUGCUGGAGAACUGCAAUCCUCCAGCGGGUAGCAUAUGACAACUCCCUUUGUGACUGACUAGCUAAGACUGAUGAGAAUGGAAGGCCAUCAACAUCCAGGCAGGAUGUCCGAAGGUGCUGACCCCGAGAGAGGCCUGAAGAGAGAGAACUAGGAGGCAGGACUUCUCGGCAACCACACCCAAACUUUGGAAUCAACCACCUCCGCACAUCCGCUUGGCCCCCCUCACUGGAAGACCUUUACAAAAUCUC